rnacentral:rRNA from 1 species
CCUACGGGUGGCAGCAGUAGGGAAUCUUUCACAAUGGGCGCAAGCCUGAUGGAGCAACGCCGCGUGCAGGAUGAAGGCCUUCGGGUUGUAAACUGCUUUUAUAAGCGAGAAAUAUUAUGGUACCUUAUGAAUAAGGAUCGGCUAGCUACGUGCCAGCAGCCGCGGUCAUACGUAGGAUCCGAGCAUUAUCCGGAGUGACUGGGUGUAAAGAGUUGUGUAGGUUGCAUAAUAAGUAGCUAGUGAAAUCUUGUGGCUCAACCAUUCAGAUUAUUAGCUAAACUGGUAAGCUCGAGACCGUUAGGGGUAAGUGGAAGUUCUAGUGUAGGAGUGAAAUCCUUAGAUAUUAGAAGGAACACCGAUAGCGUAGGCAGGUUACUGGGCCGGUUCUGACACUAAGGCACGAAAGCGUAGGGAGCAAACGGGAUUAGAUACCCGAGUAGUC